GCGGACGUGGCGAAACUGGUAGACGCAAGGGACUUAAAAUCCCUCGGGUUUUCCCGUGCGGGUUCGAUCCCCGCCGUCCGCA
rnacentral:tRNA from 1 species